GAUGAACGCUGGCGGCGUGCCUAAUACAUGCAAGUCGAGCGAACAGAUAAGGAGCUUGCUCCUUUGACGUUAGCGGCGGACGGGUGAGUAACACGUGGGUAACCUACCUAUAAGACUGGGAUAACUUCGGGAAACCGGAGCUAAUACCGGAUAAUAUUUCGAACCGCAUGGUUCGAUAGUGAAAGAUGGUUUUGCUAUCACUUAUAGAUGGACCCGCGCCGUAUUAGCUAGUUGGGAAGGUAACGGCUUACCAAGGCGACGAUCCGUAGCCGACCUGCGAGGGUGGUCGGCCACACUGGAACUGAGACACGGUCCAGACUCCUACGGGAGGCAGCAGUAGGGAAUCUUCCGCAAUGGGCGAAAGCCUGACGGAGCAACGCCGCGUGAGUGAUGAAGGUCUUCGGAUCGUAAAACUCUGUUAUUAGGGAAGAACAUACGUGUAAGUAACUGUGCACGUCUUGACGGUACCUAAUCAGAAAGCCACGGCUAACUACGUG
rnacentral:rRNA from 1 species